GCCCGCCAAAGACGGUAACAGCCCGGUAGUUGAAAUGGCUUUCCCUCCAGAGUGGAUCCUGAGUACGGCGGAACACGUGAAAUUCCGUCGGAAUCCGGGAGGACCAUCUCCCAAGGCUAAAUACUCCCUAGUGACCGAUAGUGAACCAGUACCGUGAGGGAAAGGUGAAAAGCACCCCGGAAGGGGAGUGAAACAGUUCCUGAAACCGUGUGCCUACAAGUAGUUAGAGCCCGUUAAUGGGUGAUAGCGUGCCUUUUGUAGAAUGAACCGGCGAGUUACGAUUUGUUGCAAGGUUAAGCGGAAAAAGCGGAGCCGUAGCGAAAGCGAGUCUGAAUAGGGCGCAUAAGUAACAGGUCGUAGACCCGAAACCAGGUGAUCUACCCAUGUCCAGGAUGAAGGUAAGGUAAUACUUACUGGAGGUCCGAACCCACGCACGUUGAAAAGUGCGGGGAUGAGGUGUGGGUAGCGGAGAAAUUCCAAUCGAACUUGGAGAUAGCUGGUUCUCUCCGAAAUAGCUUUAGGGCUAGCCUCGAGGUAAAGAGUCAUGGAGGUAGAGCACUGUUUGGACUAGGGGCCCUUCUCGGGUUACCGAAUUCAGAUAAACUCCGAAUGCCAUGUACUUAUACUCGGGAGUCAGACUGCGAGUGAUAAGAUCCGUAGUCGAAAGGGAAACAGCCCAGACCACCAGUUAAGGUCCCCAAAUAUAUGUUAAGUGGAAAAGGAUGUGGGGUUGCUUAGACAACCAGGAUGUUGGCUUAGAAGCAGCCACCAUUGAAAGAGUGCGUAAUAGCUCACUGGUCGAGUGACCCCGCGCCGAAAAUGUACCGGGGCUAAACAUAUUACCGAAACUGUGGAUGAACCUCUUUAGAGGUUCGUGGUAGGAGAGCGUUCUAAGGGCGGUGAAGUCAGACCGGAAGGACUGGUGGAGCGCUUAGAAGUGAGAAUGCCGGUAUGAGUAGCGAAAGAAGGGUGAGAAUCCCUUCCACCGAAUAUCUAAGGUUUCCUGAGGAAGGCUCGUCCGCUCAGGGUUAGUCGGGACCUAAGCCGAGGCCGAUAGGCGUAGGCGAUGGACAACAGGUAGAGAUUCCUGUACCAGUGCUAAUUGUUUAACCGAUGGGGUGACACAGAAGGAUAGGGAAUCGCACGAAUGGAAAUGUGCGUCCAAGCAGUGAGUGUGAGAAGUAGGCAAAUCCGCUUCUCGCGAAGCAUGAGCUGUGAUGGGGAAGGAAAUUAAGUACGGAAGUUCCUGAUUUCACGCUGUCAAGAAAAGCCUCUAGGAAGAGUAGUACUGCCCGUACCGCAAACCGACACAGGUAGAUGAGGAGAGAAUCCUAAGGUGAGCGAGAGAACUCUCGUUAAGGAACUCGGCAAAAUGACCCCGUAACUUCGGGAGAAGGGGUGCUCUAUUAGGGUGCAAGCCCGAGAGAGCCGCAGUGAAUAGGCCCAGGCGACUGUUUAGCAAAAACACAGGUCUCUGCAAAACCGUAAGGUGACGUAUAGGGGCUGACGCCUGCCCGGUGCUGGAAGGUUAAGAGGAGUGCUUAGCUUCGGCGAAGGUACGAAUUGAAGCCCCAGUAAACGGCGGCCGUAACUAUAACGGUCCUAAGGUAGCGAAAUUCCUUGUCGGGUAAGUUCCGACCCGCACGAAAGGCGCAACGAUCUGGGCACUGUCUCAACGAGAGACUCGGUGAAAUUAUAGUACCUGUGAAGAUGCAGGUUACCCGCGACAGGACGGAAAGACCCCGUGGAGCUUUACUGCAACCUGAUAUGGAAUGUUUGUACCGCUUGUACAGGAUAGGUAGGAGCCGAAGAGACGUGUGCGCUAGCAUACGAGGAGGCAAUGGUGGGAUACUACCCUGGCUGUAUGACCAUUCUAACCCGCCACGCUUAGCGCGUGGGGAGACAGUGUCAGGUGGGCAGUUUGACUGGGGCGGUCGCCUCCUAAAGAGUAACGGAGGCGCCCAAAGGUUCCCUCAGAAUGGAUGGAAAUCAUUCGCAGAGUGUAAAGGCACAAGGGAGCUUGACUGCGAGACUGACAAGUCGAGCAGGGACGAAAGUCGGGCUUAGUGAUCCGGUGGUUCCGCAUGGAAGGGCCAUCGCUCAACGGAUAAAAGCUACCCCGGGGAUAACAGGCUUAUCUCCCCCAAGAGUCCACAUCGACGGGGAGGUUUGGCACCUCGAUGUCGGCUCGUCGCAUCCUGGGGCUGUAGUCGGUCCCAAGGGUUGGGCUGUUCGCCCAUUAAAGCGGCACGCGAGCUGGGUUCAGAACGUCGUGAGACAGUUCGGUCCCUAUCCGUCGCGGGCGCAGGAAAUUUGAGAGGAGCUGUCCUUAGUACGAGAGGACCGGGAUGGACACACCGCUGGUGUACCAGUUGUUCCGCCAGGAGCAUCGCUGGGUAGCUAUGUGUGGCAGGGAUAAACGCUGAAAGCAUCUAAGCGUGAAGCCCCCCUCAAGAUGAGAUUUCCCAUUUCUUCGGAAAGUAAGAUCCCUGAAAGAUGAUCAGGUAGAUAGGUUUGGAGUGGAAGUGUAGCGAUACAUGGAGCGGACAAAUACUAAUCGAUCGAGGACUUAACCAAAA
rnacentral:rRNA from 1 species